CUUUGCAACUCCAUGGAUUGCAGAACGCCAGGCUUCCCUGUCCUCCACUAUCUCCCAGAGUUUGCUGAUACUGUGGGAGUAAGUGUCUAAUACUAAUUCACCCAAGUUCACCGAGUGCACGUAUGAAUAAAGGACCGUGUUGGAAGCAUCGCUUGGCAGUUGCACGAGAGAGGGGUGGGGUUCGUCCUAAGAGGCCUUUGUCACUGAAGCGGAUGUCGGAGAUGACUUGGGUUUUCUCUGCAAGUGAAAAACCUCUACUUGUGAGAAUGAAAAGGAAGAAGGGUCUCCUUAGGGCCACAGGUUGAUUUCCAUCUCAAGAGAAGUCCCAAGAUUCAGAGGAUUCAGACAGGAAGAGAGAUGAAUUCUAGGAACGGAGUUUUCAUGAUGGUUUAACUUCAACAUAAGUGGAGAUGGUCCUUCUCCCACCUCUGUGUGUGGGUAGUUGAAGGGGACACCUGUCCCUCAGGUCACUAAGCUGGGCUUGCCAGAGAAAAUCCUGAUGCCUACGUGCUGUGGACUCAGUUUCUAUGUGACAACCCUGCAUCCACAAUUCCUACCUUAAGCCCUAAUCUUCUAGGUUAUGGGAUGAAGAGGGGGCCUUUGGGAGGUCAUGAGGGUGGGGUCUUCAAGAAUGGGAUUCGUGUCCUUUAAGGACAGCCCAGAGGAACUUCCUUGGUGGUCCAGUGGCUAAGAGUCUGGCUCCCAGUGCAGAGACUGUGGGUUUGAUCCAACAUGACACAUGUCGUGCGGUGUGGCCAAGAAUAAAUAAAUAAAUAAAUAAAAUACUAGGAAGUGG
rnacentral:lncRNA from 1 species